GAUGAACGCUGGCGGCGUGCCUAAUACAUGCAAGUCGAGCGAACAGACGAGGAGCUUGCUCCUCUGACGUUAGCGGCGGACGGGUGAGUACAACGUGGAUCACCUACCUAUAAGACUGGGAUAACUUCGGGAAACCGGAGCUAAUACCGGAUAAUAUAUUGAACCGCAUGGUUCAAUAGUGAAAGACGGCUUUGCUGUUACUUAUAGCAGGAUCCGCGCCGCAUUAGCUAGUUGGUAAGGUAACGGCUUACCAAGGCAACGAUGCGGAGCCGACCUGAGAGGGUGAGCGGCCACACUGGAACUGAGACACGGUCCGGACUCCUACGGGAGGCAGCAGUAGGGAAUCUGCCGCAGUGCGCGGAAGCCUGACGGAGCAACGCCGCGUGAGUGAUGAGGGUCUUCGGAGCGAAAAACUCUGUUAUUAGGGAAGAACAAAUGUGUAAGUAACUAUGCACGUCUUGACGGUACCUAAUCGGAAAGCCACGGCUAACUACGUG
rnacentral:rRNA from 1 species